rnacentral:tRNA from 1 species
AUUUAAGUAGCUUAUAUAGAGCUUUGUGCUGAAGAUACAACAGAAAUUUAAUAUUCUUAAAUA